GCCUCUGCAAGUCAAGGGGUAGGCUGCUCGAUCGCAUCUCCAAGAGUCCCUCGCCGCCACAACGCCUGCAGUCGCGGACGGCCGUACCUGUCGACGGGAGCGGCUGAGCAGGGGACAUCCCGCCGAUCCGAUGGCGGAAGGGCGAGAUAAUGGGCAAGUCUACCUCGGGUUGAAUCUGGACACCAGCGAGCUCCUUGCAGUAAACCAGUUGGGCGCUCCUUCGAAACAAGAUUAUCGUGUCCAGGUAUACAGUCCGCCACAAAACUCUCCCGUGCAGUGGGCGUACAGAAGGUACCUUCCUCUCCUGAUUUUGUAUAUGGCAGUGUAGUACUAUGUGGUUAACUGAAAACGAAGAGUAAGCAAAUUAGUUCCUGUCAGAACAACUGUAGCCGGCAUCGCCGCCGUCGCUUAUGGAGCUCCACACCAUUCCCCAAUUGUACGAGAGCAUGUUCAAUCUUCGCCAUUCUAUACUAUGUGCAAAUGGUCAACUCUUUUCCAAACAAGAAGAUAUGAGGAUUAGGCAUAUAUGCCCCAUAAGGUAGCUAUAUUCAUGUGUUGUAGUGUGGAUUAUGGUCACGCUCUGUCUUGGACUGCAGAUAGCUAGGUUAACAAAAAUGGAUACUCUGCAUAUUUUCUGAAUUUUUAGUAAGGUCUACAUGAAUAAGGUUAGCAGUAGUUCUGACUUGGGGCACUGGUUAAUUCUUCACAUGCAGGAACGUGGAGAGAUGGUGGGCUCCAAGCCCAUGGUGAUUUUAUUGUGCUUGCAGCUUGAGAUGUACUUGGUCCAAAUGAAAAUCAUCAUUUUGAAGGGCAACUUCGCAUGGAAUUAGGAUCACUUAAUAAGGUUCUGGUUUCUUUUUCAAAUUCACUUGCUUUAUGCAUGAACCUAUUAUAGAUUUGUUGGUGUUGAUUUGCAGUAAGAGCAAAUGUAAUAUUGUUCUCAUCAAUUUC